GAGUUUGAUCAUGGCUCAGGAUGAACGCUAGCGGCAGGCUUAACACAUGCAAGUCGAGGGGCAGCACGGGUAGCAAUACCUGGUGGCGACCGGCGGAAGGGUGCGUAACGCGUGAGCAACAUGCCCUAUACAGGGGAAUAAACCAGGGAAACUUGGUCUAAUGCCCCAUAGCAAUAAGAUAAGGCAUCUUAUUUUAUUUAAAGCUUCGGUGGUAUAGGAUUGGCUCGCGUGACAUUAGCUGGAUGGUGGGGUAACGGCCCACCAUGGCGAUGAUGUCUAGGGGUUCUGAGAGGAAGACCCCCCACACUGGGACUGAGACACGGCCCAGACUCCUACGGGAGGCAGCAGUGAGGAAUAUUGGACAAUGGAUGGAAAUCUGAUCCAGCCAUGCCGCGUGCAGGAAGACGGCCCUAUGGGUUGUAAACUGCUUUUCUACGGGAGCAAUAAGGUCUACGCGUAGACUGAUGAGAGUACCGUAGGAAUAAGCAUCGGCUAACUCCGUGCCAGCAGCCGCGGUAAUACGGAGGAUGCGAGCGUUAUCCGGAUUUAUUGGGUUUAAAGGGUGCGUAGGCGGCUUUUUAAGUCAGCGGUGAAAUUUUGCAGCUUAACUGUAACAGCGCCGUUGAUACUGGGGAGCUAGGAUUUGGUUGC
rnacentral:rRNA from 1 species